ACGGGUGAGUAAUGUCUGGGGAUCUGCCCGAUAGAGGGGGAUAACCACUGGAAACGGUGGCUAAUACCGCAUAACGUCGCAAGACCAAAGAGGGGGACCUUCGGGCCUCUCACUAUCGGAUGAACCCAGAUGGGAUUAGCUAGUAGGCGGGGUAAUGGCCCACCUAGGCGACGAUCCCUAGCUGGUCUGAGAGGAUGACCAGCCACACUGGAACUGAGACACGGUCCAGACUCCUACGGGAGGCAGCAGUGGGGAAUAUUGCACAAUGGGCGCAAGCCUGAUGCAGCCAUGCCGCGUGUAUGAAGAAGGCCUUCGGGUUGUAAAGUACUUUCAGCGGGGAGGAAGGCGAUGGGGUUAAUAACCUUAUCGAUUGACGUUACCCGCAGAAGAAGCACCGGCUAACUCCGUGCCAGCAGCCGCGGUAAUACGGAGGGUGCAAGCGUUAAUCGGAAUUACUGGGCGUAAAGCGCACGCAGGCGGUCUGUUAAGUCAGAUGUGAAAUCCCCGGGCUUAACCUGGGAACUGCAUUUGAAACUGGCAGGCUUGAGUCUUGUAGAGGGGGGUAGAAUUCCAGGUGUAGC
rnacentral:rRNA from 2 species